CUGGUUGAUCCUGCCAGUUGUCAUAUGCUUGUUUCAAAGAUUAAGCCAUGCAAAUGUAAGUAUAGGUCGACAGAAUCUUUCGGGGUUGAAUGUACGACGAGACUGUGAACGGCUCAUUAAAUCAGCAAUAAUUAAAUCGGUGGAUGUUGGAAGACGGAGACGGAUAACCGUGGUAAAUCUAUAGCUAAUACGUGGAAAGAGAGAUAUUGACUGUGAUGGAGGAGUGAAUAUGAAGGAUAUUAGGAGAGUAGACAGAAAAGGAAGGAGAGUGAUUGAUAGUAUGUGAGUGGAUCGUAGAGAAAGAGACGACGAGCCGAACAAAUUUCUGCCCUAUCAACUGUGGACGGUAGCAUAGAGGGCUACGGUGGUGAUGACGGGUAACGGAGAAUUAGGGUUCGAUUCCGGAGAGGGAGCAAGAGAAAUGGCUGCCAUGUCUAAGGAUAGCAGCAGGCGCGUAAAUUACCCAAUCCUGACACAGGGAGGUAGUGACAACAAAUAACACGGGUCGGUGGUUUGGUAAAACAAAGGCCGACUGGGGUGCAAUGAGAACAACGCAAAGUCCUUAUCGAGUAGCAAUUAGAGGGAAAGUCUGGUGCCA
rnacentral:rRNA from 1 species